GAUGAACGCUGGCGGCGUGCCUAAUACAUGCAAGUCGAGCGAACGGACGAGAAGCUUGCUUCUCUGAUGUUAGCGGCGGACGGGUGAGUAACACGUGGAUACCUACCUAUAAGACUGGGAUAACUUCGGGAAACCGUAGCUAAUACCGGAUAAUAUUUUGAACCGCAUGGUUCAAAAGUGAAAGACGGUCUUGCUGUCACUUAUAGAUGGAUCCGCGCUGCAUUAGCUAGUUGGUAAGGUAACGGCUUACCAAGGCAACGAUGCAUAGCCGACCUGAGAGGGGAAUCGGCCACACUGGAACUGGAACACGGUCCAGACUCCUACGGAGGGCAGCAGUAGGGAAUCUUCCGAAAUGGGCGAAGGCCUAACGGAGCAACGCCGCGGGAGUGAGGAAGGUCUUCGGAUCGUAAAACUCUGUUAUUGGGAAAAAACAUAUGUGAAAGUAACUGUGCACCUCUUGACGGUACCUAAUAAGAAAGCCACGGCAAACUACGU
rnacentral:rRNA from 1 species